UACGGAGGAUCCAAGCGUUAUCCGGAUUUAUUGGGGUUAAAGGGUGCGUAGGCGGCCUAUUAAGUCAGGGGUGAAAGACGGUAGCUUAACUAUCGCAGUGCCUUUGAUACUGAUGGGCUUGAAUGAACUAGAGGUAGGCGGAAUGUGACAAGUAGCGGUGAAAUGCAUAGAUAUGUCACAGAACACCAAUUGCGAAGGCAGCUUACUAUGGUUUUAUUGACGCUGAGGCACGAAAGCGUGGGGAUCAAACAGG
rnacentral:rRNA from 1 species